ACGUGAUCUGAGUUCAGACCGGAGUAAUCCAGGUCAGUUUCUAUCUAUAAAGGGCUUUUUCUAGUACGAAAGGACCGAAAAAGCAUGGCCAAUGACCUAUUAAGCCAUAUUAAUAAUUUAUGACCCCCACUUAAUUAUUAAAAAGCCUCUUAUUUUACUCUAAACAAGAGAA
rnacentral:rRNA from 1 species